AACACUGAUACAUCUAUCCGAAAAGCAUUUAAACUGUCUGAAAAUUGGAGUUGAUGGGACAUGUCCCCAACUAACUCCGUCUAUUGAAAAUAACUAAAUCUAAUGCGAUAAUAAAAUAACGAUCAUCCUCGACUGAAGAGGACUCACUGCUACAUCUAUUGCUGUUGACUGGGACUAAGCUGCAAAGGGUACUCUGGAUCUCGUGCCUCUGAACCUAUGGUGUCAAAAAAAAACACAAUAGCGCAAAUGUGUCAGUACAGGAAUAUACCUAGUAUGAAGAUGAGGUAAGGCAAAAUGGAAGGGCUUAUGCAUGAACAAUUAUUUAACUGAAUAAUCAUGAGAGUACUGAAUGAGAACACAUGCAUGAAUGCACAAAUCAUAACUGAAAUCAUCGAGACUCAAAAUACUAAAACUCAAAUACCACUUUACUGCCAUCUGAAAUCACUACUAAUACUGAGAUACUGAAUAACUUAAUAUCCUUAUAUUGAUAACUAAGUACAGGAAUUUAGAUCAUUCCUCUCUAGCAAGUGAUCUCGGAAACUGAUGUUACUGGAGCUGAUUAUCUAAAUCUACUCACAUCAAUGACUGCACUCUAAACUUGCUACACUUAUCUAACUGAAUCGAAGAUCAAACCUCUCAAAUGGAUGAUCCCUAAAUUGACUAUCAAUGACAAGAAAAGAUUUUAGCUGAGAUCGAACCUAUCUAGCGGAGGAUCUCUUAAUCUGAUAAUAAGAAUACUCAACUAAAUCUGACACUAGGUUCAAGCCUAUCUAACGGGUGAUCUCUAGAUCUGAUAAUGAGAUUACUCAACUGAAUCUAAGACUGAGAUCAAGACUAUCUAAUGGGUGAUCUCUGGAUCUGAUAAUGAGAUUUCUCAACUGAAUCUGAGACUGAGAUCAAGCCUAUCUAAUGGGUGAUCUCUGGAUCUAAUAAUGAGAUUACUCAACUAAAUCUGAGAAUGAGACCAAGCCUAUCUAACAGGUGAUCUCUGGAUCUAAUAAUGAGAUUACUCAACCAAAUCUGAGACUGAGAUCAAGCCUAUCUAAUGGGUGAUCUCUGAAUAUGAUAAUGAGAUUACUCAACUAAAUCUGAGACUGAGAUCAAGCCUAUCUAACGGGUGAUCUCUAGAUCUGAUAACACUGAUACUGAAUAUCUUUAUGUGAGACCAUGCCUAUCUAUUGGGUGGUCCAUGAAUCAAUGGAACUAUCAUCUGAUAAUGAGAUUACUCAACUAAAUCUGAGACUGAGAUCAAGCCUAUAUAACAGGUGAUCUCUGAAUCUAAUAAUGAGAUUACUCAACUAAAUUUGAGACUGAGUUUAAGCCUAUCUAACGGGUGAUAUCUAGAUCUGAUAAUGAUAUUACUCAACUGAAUCUAAGACUAAGAUCAAGACUAUCUAAUGGGUAAUCUCUGGAUCUGAUAAUGAGAUUACUCAACUAAAUAUAAGACUGAGAUCAAGCCUAUCUAACGGGUGAUCUCUAGAUCUGAUAAUGAGAUUACUUAACUAAAUCUGAGACUAAGAUCAAGCCUAUCUAACAGUUGAUCUAUGGAUCUAAUAAUGAAUUACUCAACUGAACCUGAGACUGAGAUCAAGCCUAUCUAAUAGGUGAUCUCUGGAUAUGAUAAUCAGAUUACUCAACUAAAUUUGAGACUGACAUCAAGCCAAUCUAAUGGGUAAUCUCUGGAUCUGAUAACACUGAUACUGAAUAUCUUUAUGUAAGACCAUGCCUAUCUAGUGGGUUGUCCAUGAAUCAAUAGAACUAUCAUCUGAUAAUGAGAUUACUCAACUAAAUCUGAGACUGAGAUCAAGCCUAUCUAAAUGAUGAUCUCUGGAUCUAAUAAUGAAAUUACUCAACUGAAUCUGAGACUGAGUUCAAGCCUAUCUAACGGGUGAUCUCUGGAUCUAAUAAUGGAUUACUCAAAUCAAUCUGAGACUGAGAUCAAGCCUAUCUAAUGGGUGAUCUAUGGAUAUAAUAAUGAGAUUACUCAACUAAAUCUGAGACUGAGAUCAAGCCUAUUUAAUGGGUGAUCUCUGGAUCUGAUAAUACUGAUACUGAAUAUCUUUAUGUGAGACCAUGCCUAUCUAGUGGAUGGUCCAUGAAUCAAUGAAACUAUCUAUGUUCCUUACUGAGAUAGGUGACUCUAUCUGAUAGUCCUGAUUUUCUGAGUUCUACUCUAAAGACUGAUACUAAAAAUGUAACUGUGGGAGUUCUCACUUAACCGACAUGCCUCGAAUCUUAACUGGUGGGGUCCAACCUGUAACUCCAGCUGGAAGGGUGACUUCUGCUUCUGCACUGGCUAUGUAGUUCUAGAGUUCAGGGAUUGCUCCUAACGACUCUGGCUCUCUAACAGGGAGACGCCAUCCCUGCACUCGCUCGGUGCUAGCUCCUACUCCCAACUAAAAAAACCUAAACUGAUUCUUAACUGAACUUAAACUGAGCUGAAUCUGUUACUGAUUAUAUUUCUCGAAUGACCUGACUGAGUUAUGCUGAUUUUACUUAGUUCCAUAUCUAACGAAAUACUACUGAAUCUCUUUAACUGACUGCAUGAUACAGAGUUCUGAACUGAACACUUGAAUACUACUAUAUCAGAGUUGAGUACUAAACUGAGGCUAGAAUACUAGUGACACUGAGAUUACUGAGAUUUCUGAGAUUUCUUAAGUUUUGUAUCUAUCUGAGAGUACAGAGUUCUAUAACUCAUUGAGUUCUAAGAAUCGUGGCUUAACCAAGAUUAUUGAGGAAACUGACACAGGCUCUAGACUGUAGCUAAUUUGUUGGGUAUAAAUAACACCAAGACUCAAUAACAUAAAAGUAAAACAUAACCAUUCUUGAAUAAUCAAGACCAUGGACAUUCAUUCACCAUCACAAUCACUAAAGCAUCUCUUCAAGUAUUUAGAAAUCAUAAACAUGUGAUAGUAUAGAGAUACAUCCUAUUGGCUCAUACUCCGUUUAACAAGGUCUUACAUCAAACACUCAGCAUGUAUUAAAGUCUUAGCAUGUAUCGAAGAGCACAUAAUUGGGGAAUUUCAUGCUAUCAUGCCAUAAUUCAUUAACUAUGGCUUUUCAACAAACACUUGGGAUUCAUGGGUUUGCACACAAUUGGGAAUUUCUAGUUCACAUGCUAUAAUGGCUUUAAUUCUAUCACAUAAGCAUUUUAUCAAACAUAUGGGGAGCAUGCUUUGGUUAUUCACAAUUUCUACCCUUAAUUGACAUAAAAAACUCACCUAACAUGCAACUUGAAGAGGGUUUAUCAUGAACAUCACAUGAAUAUCAUAUACUAGGAUCAAAGCUUGAAACUUUGUAAAUAAAACAUGAAUUAAAACUCAAUAAGAACGUGAACUUCAGUUUCAAUUAACAUGAAUCAUGAAAAAUCAUAAAUAUAAGAUCUUUGAAUUUAGAAAAUGAUUCUUGAUCUUCUUGGGUGGAAGGAACCCAAAAAUCAACAUCUGCAUACCUUGUUAUAUGAUUCUCGGAAGAUUUACGAAGGAAUCUUGAUGACUUGGGUCUUAGAUUAGAAACCCUAGGUCUUGUUUUUGAUUUCUUAAGGGAGAAAAUAUUUUGAUUUGGGGAAAAAUUGAUGAAUAAAGAAGUAUUUUCAUUAUUUAAGGUAUGGAUACCUUAUAUAGACUGGUUUGGGGCUUUAGGAAAUGACCAAUUGGUCCGUGAAAUUUAAAAAUGGAAUCUGAAAAUCUCGAUUUCACAUACUGGUGCAAUUGAGAAAUUGCGUUACCACCUAGAAACUGGACAAUUGGGAAACUGGUUGGUGGCACGACGCAGUGGUAAUCGCGUUACCACCUUGGUUGUGAACUGGAAAGGCAUCGCGAGGCGGCCGAAUCACGUUGGUGCACUAGAAAUUGACAACUCUGAAAUUAAGCCUUGAUGCGAUGCACCACAAUCACGAAGGCGCACUAGAUUUUGACGAUUGCCAUUUUGGCCGGCUCCGUGACGCGCUAAAGUGCCAGGUGGCACAUUGUCUCACUAAAAUGGCUCUAACUCUUCGCCCGAGUGUCGGAUUUAGGCAAAUUUAGUAUCGUUGGAAAGCUUAUUUAAUUUUCUACAUGACAAAAAGUUGAUAUUAGGGAAAUUCUAUAUGGUUCAAAAUACUUCUCACUUGGGAAGGCACUUCUCAACCUUUUAGGGUCAGAUUAACACUUUAUUAAACACGCUCUAAGGCUCAGACUAUGAGAGAAUUUUGUAGGGUCUUACAAUAUGUCCCCCUUAGAAACAUUCAUCCUCGAAUGUCGCUUGAUAGGCUAUGAAUACUGAUCGAAUGAACUUACUCAAGGAAUGGGAGCAUCUGAAACAUGACCAUGCAAUUGGAACAACGGAUAAACUGAGCUCUUAUACUAGACAUGCAUAUAUGAUGCUUGGAAAACGCGACUGAAGCUACUCAGAAGCUGAAUUCUCAUAAUAGACAUGCAUAUCUGAUCCAUGGAUUUGUAAUUGAGUUGUUCUCAUAAAUGGAUGACUGAAUACACUGAAAAAUUGAACUUUUUCUACAGAAAAUGGAUAUCUAAUGCAUGAAUGUCUGACUGAACUGACUCUCAAAAGCAUGACUGGCUAUAUAAUGACAACUAACGUUAACUUCGUAAGGAAAGUCUAAACAUACAAAUUAAUGAGUCUAAGGACAUGAACGCGUUAUAAAUCAUAGCUUAUCUCCCCCUUGGGACUAUGUCCCUCUAAACACACUUUGCUGAAAUACUGGAGCAGUGCACGGGGUACCUACGAACUGGUUCAUGAUUGAUCGAAUGAGAUCUUAAACUAAUGCAUGACUCAUGCUGACAUAUAAGCUCAAAAUGGGACAAAAGGAUCUAACAAUGCAUAUUAUAAAGAUGAAGGACUAAUAACAUACCCGAAUCUAUAUUAGGGAACCUUUCCUGAUCAUGGUGGAUCUGAAGCGCAAGAAGUCUGUUCUGACACUGACCACUAUUGGCACCGGAAGGGGCACUCUGCUGACUAAACUCUUUACCCAUCUAAGCUAGCAAUCUAUACUAUCGCAUUCUGUGGACUAGCUCACCAAACCUAAAGCACGUAUCACUACUGGCUCUACACACACCUAGGUGACUCUUUCCAUACUCUCCACAAAGCGGAUAGGUAUGAACACCACUAGCACUACUCUGGGAUCUAGAGCCUAGCGCUCUAUCAUGACUGAUAUCCCCGAACUUUGGUGCAGGUACACUAGCUGUGGAUGGAGUUGGGACUAAAAAUCUUUGGUUAUGCUGAGAAUGGCUACCACCCUUGGACCCCGACUAAGAGAAACCAUGACUACCUAUUCUGGCUUUCUUACUCACUCUCUCUUUUUUUUGUCUUAUCUACCUCAAUCUAUUGUGCAUGCAUCAUCAGUCUAUAAAGGUCCAUAUCUCUAUUUAGAAUAGCAUCCCUAUACUCUUUCAAUACUAACCUGGAUACACAAGUCACAAACUUACUCAUACUCGCUCUAGGGUCAGCUAUCAAGUCAGGAGCAUACUUAGCUAACUGGUUGAAGUGAAGACAAUACUCUUUCACUGUCAUAGAGCCUUCCCUUAGGUUUAUGAACUCCUCUACCUUUGCCUCUCUCAUCUCUAGCAGGAAAAACUUAUCUAGAAAGGUAUCCUGAAACUCUUACCAAGUCACGGGAGCUACAUCUUCCCCUCUACCUUUCUUCCACAUCACUACCCAAUCAUGAGCAAUAUCCUUCAGCCUAUAGGACACUAACUCUACACUCUCCUCCUUAUAAAUAUGCAUAAUCUGGGUGAUCUUCCUCACCUCCUCUAGAUAAAGUUAUGGGUCCUCAACUGCUACUGACCCAAAUAUUUAUGGUGGGCUAAUCCUCAUGAAAUCUCUAAUUAUGGCUACGGCUGAACCCCCAUCUUGAUGAGAUAAGGCCACAGCCUGCCAGUUCCCCUAAACAUUAGUCGUCACAGCUUGGGCUAGCAUAUGAAAAGCUGCCCAAACUUGGCGUAUGACAUACUUUCAUUCUCAGGAUCUACUGUUGAGGUGGCUGGUCAUCAACCCUAUGGGCACUAUCUUUGUGAGGAGGCAUACUGUAUAAAUGAAAGAAAGAGGUGUAUUAGACUAAGGAUCAACUUGAUCUCAUGCUCACUCGCACGACAUAAAUACUAAAAGAAGAGAAACUGCUCCUAAAAACAUCUUAUAGCCUCUUGUACCUAAGUGUGGCAUGCAAUACACCCAUGCACAAGACUCUACUAGAUGUGGUAUUUUAGACUCCCUAGGACACUAUUGAACCUUAGGCUCUGAUACCAAGUUUGUAACAACCUAAUUUUUUUAGAACUGGAAUGUCACACGAUGCUCAUAAUCCCGAAGGACCACAAGCAAACCCUCUAAUAAUGAGAUUACUCAACUGAAUCUGAGACUAAGAUCAAGCCUAUCUAACGGGUGAACUCUGGAUCUAAUAAUACUGAUACUGAAUAUCUUUAUAUGAUACCAUGCCUAUCUAGUGGGUGGUUAAUGAAUUAAUAGAACUAUCUGAGUUCCUUACAGAGAUAGGUAACUAUAUCUAGCAAUCCUAAUUUCUGAGUUCUACUCUGAAGACUAAUAUUGAAACUGUAACUUUGGGAGUUCUCACUUACCCAACAUGCCCCAAAUCUGAACUAGUGGGUUCUAACCUAUAACCCCAGCUGGAAGGGGAGUCAAUACCUUGCCAUAGGUAAAUACCUCUACUUUGGUCAAGCCUAUCUAAUGGGUGACCCUCAUAGGAAGUCAAGCCUAAGGCAGUAUAAUAGUCAAGCCUUAUUCUAAUGGGUGACUCCUGCUCAUGUGCUGGCUAUGCAUUUCUGGAGUUCAGGGAUUGCUCCUAACGACUCUACGUCUCUAACGGGGAGCUGCCAUCCCUGCACUCCCUCGGUGCUAGCUCUAACUCCCAACUGAAAGACUCUAAAAUAAUUCUUAACUAAACUUAAACUUAGCUGAAUCUGUUACCAAUCAUAUUUCGUGAAUAACCAAACUGAGUUACACUAAAUUCACUUAGUUCCUUAUCUAUUGGAAUACUACUAAAUCUUGUUAUCUGACUACAUGAUACUGAGUUUUGAACUGAAUACUUAAAUACUACUAGAUCAUAGCUGAGUACUAAAAUGUGGCUAGAAUACUAGCGAUACUGAUAUUACUGAGAUUUCUUAAGUUUUGUAUCUGUCUGAGAGUACAGAGUUCUAUUACUCACUGAGUUCUGAGAAUUGUGGCUUAUCCGAGAUUAUCGAGGAAACUGACACGAGCUCUAGACUAUAGCUAAUUUGUUGGGUAUAAAUACCCCCAGGACUCGAUAACAUAAAAGAAAAACAUAACCAUUCUUGAAUAAUCAAGACCAUAGACAUUCAUUCACCAUCACAAACACUAAAACAUCUCUUCAAGUAUAUAGAAAUUAUAAACAUGUGAUAGUAUAGGGAGACAUGCUAUUGGCUCACACUCCAUUCAACAAGGUCUUACAUCAAACACUCAGCAUGUAUUAAAGUCUUAGAAUGUAUCAAAGAGAACAUAAUUGGGUAAUUUCAUGAUAUCAUAUCAUAAUUCAUUCACUAAGGCUUUUCAACAAACACUUGGCAUACAUGGGUUUUCACACAAUUGGGAAUUUCUAGUCCACAUGCUAUAAUGGCUCUAAUUCUCUUACAUAAGCAUUUUAUCAAACAUAUGGAGAGCAUGCUUUGGUUAUUCACAAUUUCUACCCUUAAUUGACAUAAAAAACUCACCUAACAUGCAACUUGAAGAGGGUUUAUCAUUAACAUCACAUAAAUAUCACAUACUAGGAUCAAAGCUUGAAACUUUGUAAACAAAACAUGAAUUAAAACACAAUAAUAACAUGAACUUCAUUUUCAAUUCACAUGAAUCAUGAAAAAUCAUAAAUAUAAGAUCUUUGAAUUUAGAAAAGGGUUCUUGAGCUUCUUGGGUGGAAGGAACCCAAAUAUCAACAUCUGCAUACCUUGUUAUAUGAUUCUUGAAAGAUUUACGGAGGAAUCUUAAUGACUUGGGUCUUGGGUUAGAAACCCUAGGUCUUGUUCUUGAUUUCUUGCGAGAGAAAAUAUUUUUAUUUGGUGAAAAAUGAUGAAUAAAGAAGUAUUUUUGUUAUUUAGGGUAUGGAUCCCUCAUAUAGACUGGUUUGGGUCUUUAGGAAAUUACCAAUUGGUCCUUGAAAUUUAAAAAUCGAAUCUAAAAAUCCCGAUUUCACAUGCUGGCACGACGUGGUGGAAACACACCAGCUCACUAAAAACUGGACAAUUGGGAAACUGGUUGGUGGCGCGAUGCAGUGGAAAUCGCGUUGCCACCUUCAUUGCGAACUUGAAAGACACCACAACGCGGUGGAAUCGCGUUGGUGCACUGGAAAUUGACAACUCUGAAAUAAAGCCUUGGCGUGAUGCACCAUUAACACAGAGGCUCACUUGAUUUUGACGAUUGCCAUUUUGUCUGGCUCCGCGAUGUGCUAAAGUGCCAGGUGGCACACUGUCUCACUAAAAUAGCUAUAACUCUUCGCCCGAGUGUCAGAUUUAAGAAAAUUUUGUAUCAACAGAAAGCUUAUCCAAUUAUCUACAUGAAAAAAAUUUGAUAUUAGGGAAAUUCUAUAUGGUUCAAAAUACUUCUCAUUUGGGAAGGCACUUCUCAACCUUUUAGGACCGGAUUAACACUUUACUGAACACUCUGUAAGGCUUAACUAUGAGAUAAUUUUGCGGGGUCUUAAUGUACCACACAUGUAUAUUUAUUAAGACAAACCAUUUAAAACACAUUUAAACCAUUCAUAUUAUUUAGGGUUCUAUUACCAAGUUUAAACCAUGCCUAAGUUCCAUUAAAAACCCAAUAUUUUAAUAAACGCAUCGUUAUAAGCAUUUUAUCAAACACAUUGGAGCAUAGUUUUUCCAAAACCAAAAUCCCUUACCAAUAAACAUUCCCAUGCAAUCCGAUUAUGUUCCUCAUAUACAUGCAUCACCUGAGUAAUCUUCCGUACCUCCUCUAAAAACAACUGUGGAUCCUCAUCAGACUUGGACCCAUAGAAUUCUAGUGGAUUCAUCCGCAUGAAGUCAUGGAUCCUGGCAGCAGCUGAAUUACCUCCCUGCUACUGUGGAGCUGGGGCUGGGUUGGCCUGAACAUUUGCAGUAACAGCUUGGGCCAGCGCUUAAAAGGCUGCCCAAAAUUCAGCAUGAGACAUAUUUUCAUUCAAUGGGUCAGCAGGUUAAGGUUGCUGACCAUCAUUAUUUCUUCACGCUCGACGUGGAGGCAUAUUUCUGAAAGAGAAGAGCACGAAUCAAUAGCAGAGAGAGACACUUUAAGCACGAUAGACCUCUGAAAGAAAGAAUCACACUUUUUCCUAAAACUUCUUGUAGCCUAUUGCUCAUAGAUAUGGCGCGCUACACACCGAUGAACAAGACUCUACUUAACGCGGUUUGUCAGACCCACUAGGACACCUUAAAACCUUAGGCUCUGAUACCAAGUUUGUAACACCCCAAAAAUGGGUCUCGGAGCAUCACACGGUGCUUGAGGCUAUGAGUAGUCCCAAGCUAACCCUUGGACCCAUUUUUAUUUAGUUCAACACGAAUCAAUGGGGUUUUCAUAAAUAACCCUCAAAUAUCAACACAGUAAUCAUCAUCCAAGAAUAAAAGAAUUUCAGAAAGAUAAUAAAAUACGACUUAUUAGUCAACUCCCAACAUCUAUACUAGUUUGACAAGCCUCUAAGAAAAUUAAUAAAACCAGAGAGCCAUUAAGACAUGCCCCAACUAACUCAUACUCAGUUAUCAAAUGUAAACAAUUCUGUGGAACCAACAUCAGACAUCACGUCCUCAGAAUAUGAGGACUCACCACGAUAGAGGAUGUAGAACAGCGUGCCCAAAGAAUCACUGUCGAACCUAGAACUAAGCACCUAAACCUACAAAUCGAGGAAAUCCAGCCCACAUCUGAAGAUGUGGGUCAGUACCAUGGAAAGGAAUCGAGUAUAUGGGGGUGUAUGCAGUUUUAUAAACAUAAUCAUCAUAAAUAUUUAUAAAAAAUAAGCAGGAUGUAUGAAAGACUCACAUAGCCCGAAGAAAAUCAUCAUAAUCAUGAGAGGAUGAAAUAAGUACAAUAACACAUGUGAGUCAUCAUAUAAUUUGUCAAUCACUUUCAGUUCAUCAAGAAUAUCAAUUCUCAUAAUGUAAAUAUCAUUUAAAUCUUUCGAAAGAAUAACUUUCACAAUUCCACUUUCAAAUCACUUCACCAUUCACCAUAGACACAAGGAAACACACACACACUGAGAGAUCCUCUACAUGGAGUCCAACGUACAACCCACGUUAGGGAGAGCCGUCCUAUCCUUGCCAUCGGAGUAGGACUAUCAAUAUCAAAUCCACACAAACUAGUGAUCACUAUAUAAAUCAGCCUCAAGCUCACUCCUACGAGGGCAUGUAGUUCUAGGGAAGUAAGGUCGCUUUAUACCUCCCACUCGGUGCUAAAGAUUUCUCCCGAACUUAGCUCAGAUCAUUUCAAAGACAAUCAACAACAAAACAAUUUUAGUAAUAUAUAAAUAUACAUCGGGAGCCAUCAUACUUCCCAUCUAUCAAAAUCAACCACAUUGUAGAUUUCUAUCACACUCGAGUUCAAAACAACUCUAUUAAGAAUAAAAGGUCAAAUCAUUCAAAAUAUCUCAAAUAUUCAACAUCAAGGUGCUUAUAACAUAUACUUUCUCAAAAAGCACAAUUUCCAAUGGGGAUUCAUGACCCAAAUAUCAAAAUCAUGAUAAAUAAUGUUCAAGAUCCAUGUGUUAUAUCUCCACACAUGUAAAUUCAUCUUUCAAAAUCAUAAACAUCAAGAUUUCAUAAUAAUCAUCAUAAUAUAUGGGUUCGUGCUUCAAAUUCAUAAAAGUCAAAUAAAAAUCAUGCUUUUGUAAAAAAAAUUACUUUUGGGCACAAAAACGAAAGAGAGUUCUUGUUGAAAAACUCCACAUACCUUGAACGAUGAACUUUAGAUCGAUACUCAUUUUUGAGAUAUUAAUCGUGCCUUUGAAUGAUGGUUCUUGGAGUUCUUGAACUAGGAACUUAGAAUCUUGAAUAAAUUUGCAGAAUUAGUGGUAAACUUUGGAGGUUCUUGAAGUUGGAUGUAAGAGCUUAGAGUUUUCUUUUUGAGGGUAAUUUGAUGAAAUAUAACAUAUAAUGCUUCUAAUAGGCUUUAAUAUAGGGUUUGGACAGAUUUUGGGUGAGGGGGAAUGACCAAAACGCCCCUAAAAAUUAAAUAAUUCUCGAAUCUGUCCUUUAGUGGACUAUUUUGAUAGUCUGAAGUAGAUCAAUCAUAAUGUUUUACUUCAAUAUACAAAUUGGAUAAAACUAAUUUCAUUAGAAAGAGGACUCUCAUAUCUUUCCAUUGAUAUAUAGUAUCUCACCCAUAUCAUUAUGUACGAGGAGUUAUGAUCGUUUGAAGUUGACCAAAAAAUUUGCUUUUGAUAGACUGAAGUAGAUCGACCAUAACUUUUUACUCCGAUGGACAAAUUAGAUGAAACCAAUUUCAUUGGAAAGAGGACUCACAGAUAUUUCCGUUCAUAUAUAGUAGAUCACCCAGAUCAUUAUGUACAAGGAGUUAUGAUCAUUUAAAGUUGGAGCAAAAGUAUGCCAAGUCUCAGUACUUUUUCCUGCACAUUUUACUGUUCACUACUAUUCACGGUUCGAUCGGAAUAUUCAUAACUCGUCCUGCACAUUUUACUGUUCACUACUAUUCAUGGUUCGAUCGGAAUAUUCAUAACUCGUCGCUCGGGUGUCCAUUUUGGAUGAUCCAGAUAUCAUUGGAAAGCUUAUUCAAUACUCUACGCAAUGGUGGGUCAUAUCUAAGACAUUCCGCAUGAAAAAUUUAUAAUUCAUUCUAGAAGAUAGAACCCAACACGUUUACACACAAAAUUUCAAAAAAAAAAAUUCUCGGGGUAUUACAAUGAGUCAGCUAGUCGACUCACAUUCUACCUAUAUUGAGAAACUAGAACAACAAAUGAACUAGUUAUCUACAGUAUUCAACUAGAGAAAAAGCUGAACAUUAUCGAGUGAUACAAUGCAAAAUCCUUGAAAUGAUGGCUCUUGCAUGGCGAUUACCACUUGAAGUGGUAAAGUAUUAUCGGGCCCUUUUGUUGGAAAAUCUUUGAUUGAUGAUGGGAUGGAGUUAGAUGCAGAAGUAGAAGAAAACCAUCCAGUAGAGACUAAGAAGCUGGAUAAUGAUAAGAUUUUAUCUAAACAUCAGCAGGUUGAUGAGUUAGAUAAAGAUAAGGUAAAGGAUGGAUGACACAAAAUUUAGCAAGUUCCUGGCAAUGCUAAAAUAGUUGAUGGUGAAUGUGUCUUUAGUGGAGGCAUUGGAACAAAUGUCUGGCUAUGCUAAGUUCAUGAAGGAUCUUGUGACAAAGAAAAGAAUAGUAAGGUACGAACCAGCGGACAAACUUCACCAUUGUAGAGCUAUUUCUACAAGAUCCUUGGUGCAGAAGAAAAUGGACCCAGGAGCUUUCACUAUCCCUUGUACUAUUGGAUUACUUAAUUUUUCUAAGGCCUUGUGUGACCUUUGGGAAAGUAUUAAUCUGAUGCCACUGGCAGUUUACAAGAAGUUGGGUUUGGGAGAUACUACACCCACCAAUAUGCAACUUGUAAUGCCAAACAGAUUAGUGAAGCGGCUAGUCGAAAUAUUAUAUAAUGUGCUUUCAAAAGUGGCUAGUUUUAUUUUCCCUAUUGAUUUUUUCAUCUUGGAUUGUGAGGUGGACAUUGAGGUACCCAUAAUCUUGGGUAGACCUUUCCUUGCAAUCGGGAGUGAGUUGAUUGACUUGCAAACUAAUAAGCUGAAGUUUAGGCUCAAUGAGAAGGUGGUCAUUUUUUAUGUUUGAAAGUCAAUAAAGUAGCAAAAGGAGAUAAGUGUAUUCUUGAUCAUUGAUAUAUAUUAUGAGAUAAACAUGAGGUACCGAUUGAGGAUAAAUAUGGCAUGGAAACAUUGGUUGCUAUGUUGAUAAAAUUUGCUAGUGAGGGUAUCGAAGAAUAUGAAAAGAUGGUGUGUGCAUUAACUGGGAUAGGAUCAUAUUCAUAUGCUCCCAAGAAGCUAGACUUGGACCUUAAAAUUUGCCUAACACCACCGGCUAAGCCAUCUAUUAAAGAGCCACCGACGUUGGAACUUAAUGAGUUGCCAGGCCAUCUGCGCUAUGCAUUCUUAGUAGUGAUAACACUUUGCCGGACAUUAUUGCAGCAGAUUUGGUAAAGCUGCAGGUUAAGGCCCUUAUUUUUGUUCGUAGGAGGUACAAAAAGCUAUCGGAUGGAUGAUUGCAGAUAUUAUUAGUAUCCCUCCAAGCAUAUGUACCCAUAAGAUCUAGCUAGAAGAUGAUUGCAGAUCGACCUUUGAGCAUCAAUGUAGACUAAACCUACCUAUGCAAGAAGUGGUGAAAAAAGAGAUUGUAAAGUAGCUUGAUCCAGGGGUAGUGUACCCGAUCUCUAACAGUAAGUGGGUAAGUCCAGUACAGUACGUGCCCAAGAAAGGAGGUGGACUGUGGGUGAUAAUAAGAAGAAUGAGAUAAUUCUGCUUAGGCCAAUAAAUAGGUGGUGAGUUUGCAUAGACUACUGAAAUUUGAAUUCAUGGAUGUUAAAAUAUCAUUUUUCAAUGCCCUUCAUGGAUCAAAUGCUUGAUCGCUUAGAAUGAAGGGGUUGGUAUUGCUUUUUGGAUAGAUAUUCGGGAUACAACCAGAAUAGGGUCCACUUGCUAAAUAAGACAUCUUGUGGUUUGGGUCCACUUGCCAUGCAAGAUAAGAUAGCUCGUGAUUAGGUUCCACUUGUUAUACAAGAUACAACGGCUUAUGGUUUGGGUCCACUUUCCAUAUAAGACAUAACGGCUUGAGGUUAGGGUCCUCUUUCUAUAAUAGAUGAGACAGCUAGAGGUUAGGUUCCUUUUGCUUAAUAUAACCUAAAGGUUCAAACGUUCUUAACUAGAAGGGUGGAAGGUUGGAGUCCUUCACUACAUCUUUCAUGAUUGAGUGUUUUCAAAAAGGCAUGCUAAGCCUUGUUUUUUCCUUUUUGGCACGUUAUGAAUCUAUAUAUGUGUACGUAUAUAAAUAUGGUUGCAUAUGAUGGUUUGACUUGGUAUUAAAUAAUGGUACUAGUUUAUCCUUAUCCUUGAGUUACAUGUUAGUGCUCCAACUGUUAACCAUCUCCGAACGUUAUGUGCCCACGUGACAUAGGGGCCAAAGCUUCUUCUUCUCUUCUUGCGUAGUGACAGGUGUUCGAGUGGUUCAUGUGUUGACAUUGAAGUGGUGAACUUCCAUAUUUCAGAAGACAUACAUUUUAUAGUCUUUCAAUCUUAUGCUAUAGAUUUGUUUUAGACUUGGCUUAUGGUUAUUAUCAGGGGCAUGUCCCGAAAUAUUAUAGACAUCGGAUUUGUAGAGGCUUUGUGUAUGAUUGUGGACUUGGGUAUAUUGGUUAGUAUAUUGAUGUAAAUGAAUUGAUUAGACAUCUCUUAAGUCAUAAUCAUUAGUCUUUUUUCCGCUACCUUAUUAUAUGUUCGGAGUUCAUCCGGCACUUGCCGUUUGAUAUGAUGGUUAGGUUGGGUUAAUGGGCAAUCUUCGAUCCUUGUUGGGCUUGAAAUGCCCAUUUGACAAGGCCCAAUUUUGGGUCGUGUCACCUACCUAGAUUAUUGCUACUUACUCCAAAAGAGGAGUAGUGACUAGGAAAAGAUAAUUACAACAGCGAUUUGAAUAUUAAUCGUCGAUCCAUGCUAAUAGGUAUUAUCUAAGUAAAAUCAUUAACUAACAUCUAAUAACUAGAGACCCAAAAGGUAAUAUUUAAUUGGGAUCAAGGAUAAGUGUUGGUAAGGUGACAUCUUGAGACUCAAAAGGUAAAGGGUGGAAUCCAUUAACUAGUCCAAAAGACAGUUGAUAGUACAUAACUUAUCAGAUUCUGCAUGCAAGAUAUCGGGUUGGUUCAAUAAAAGCACAAUAAGCCUAUUGAAUUGAGAAGUUAGGGAAAACAAAAUCCUACUGUUCAUCUACAACUUAUUACAACCAGAGUUGAUAUUUGUUAUUUGUUCGAUAUUACCACUAUAAUCCCCUAUUUACUUUUUCAGUUCUGCCCGUUGAUUACAAUAGUUAAGAGCCACAAUUCCAUGUAUUUCCUUGGGAUUCAACCCCAACCGUUGUUGGGCUACUAUAUUUGACAAAGAAUGCAUUAUCUUCAGAUUGAAGGUGUACCUUGGGCAUUAUUAGGGACAAUGCUAGAGAUGAGGAGAUAGAGGUCCAACAUUUUGUUAGAAAUGGAGAAUGGGAUAAAGAGUUGCUAUUAUCUCAACUGUCAGAAAAAAUGGUUGAUCUUAUCAUUAGAAAUAUUAAGGCUCUUAGGAAUGGUAACUCUAAUGAUCUCCCUUAGUGGAUGGGUGGUACUCAUGGCAUGUUCUUAGUUAAAACAACCUAGAAUCACAAGUAAGAGACAAGGAGAGAUUAUGAUUUCAUCUAGGCCAAAGGUUUGCCUUUUAAGGUGAAUUUUUUUUAUAUGGAGGUUGUAGAAAAGGAGAAUUGCAACUGAUGAUAACUUUAAAAGAAUGAGAAUAUAGUUGGUAUCAAGGUGUUGGUGUUGUGAGGAGAAUGUCAAGGAAAUAAUGUCUUAUCUAUUUCUAACAUCCCCUGUAGCCAUGAGGCUAUGAAGGCAGUUUGCUUAUUUUGCAAGUAUUCAAGUGGAGAACAUGCAACUUCAAUAGCUUAUAAUAGUUUGGUGGAAGUAAGCACCAACAAAAUUAAAGGUGUUAUAUAGAGCAAUACCAACUAUAAUAAUUUGGACUCUAUAGAAGAGAAGAAAUUAUAUUAAACAUGGAGGAACUGUACAGUUCACUGGAAUGGUCAUACAGAUAUAUGAUGUGGUGAAAAAGGUUAUCAAAAUACUAUAUCCCUGGAUAAAGAGUGAGCAUGGACAUGGCUAGAAGUUAUUGCCAAGAUAAAAGCCCACAAGCCCAAGUUGCACUAUCACAGUGGAAUUUGGAGGAAGCCAGAGAACCAGCAGGUGAAGUGAAACACUGAUGGAGCUUGCAGAGGAAAUCCUGGGAUAAGUUCCUGUGGUUUCUGCCUAAGGGAUAACAAAGUAGAUCUAAUAUAUGCAAGAGCAAAGGGAUUGGGAGCAGGCACUAACACAGAAGCUAAAUAAUUAGCAAUAAAAGAAGCCUUAGAGUACUGUUAUGAAAAGAACAUAAUUGACUUUAUUCUUGAAAUAGACUCCUUUGGCCUCAGAAAAAUGAUUCUACAACAGUGGAAAGUGCCUUAGGAAUUAGCAGAGCUAUUUGAUAAGGUUAGGAAGAAUGGACAGAAGAUGAAUGUUAUAGUCAUGCACAUAUUCUAGGAAGGAAACACUGUGGAAGAUUCCUUAGCCAAUGAGCUGAUUGAAUCAAAAAUGACAUAGGAAUUCCAUAAUUUUCAUGAACUUCCAACACAUACAAAAAUACUGAUUAACAUAGAUAAAGCAUAGAUCCCAAACACCAGGGUGAAAAGACAAAGAUAAUACCACAAUGAGAAACAAAAGAAGAAUCACAAAUACAAGAAAAUAGGAAAUUCAUUCAAGUUGUAAGAGCAUGGAUGUACCAAUAAUAUUUACAAAGCUACAGUUAUCCAAAAACACUAGCACGCCAUAAUUAAUGAAAGAGCAUGCCUAGAAGAAGACAUUACAACAGUGCCAAUAAAAGUUAGGACUAAAAGUUUUAGCUAUCAAAAACCUGCACCAAAAAUAGAGGUUUUUGGGGCGUUGCACUACCAUGGAUCACCAGUUGUAGAUGCAGAAGAAUCGAGACUGCCACAAUCUCAAUCCCACCUGAAAUGUGGAUAAAUAGGUCAGAAAUGGAGUAAAUGAAAAAGGAAAAGAAAAGACAAGAGAGAAAACAUAUUGGUAUCUCAUGAUCUGGUGGAAAUGGUAUUCCUUCUAUGGUUCCUUGGGGUUAAAACCCAACCACCUACGAGAUCAAAAGUUAGGUUAAUAAAUGAAAAGAAAAGAGAGAAGAAGGAAAAAGAGAGAAGCUCACUAUGAAAUAGUGAAGAGGGUAGACAGAGCUCAACAAUCACCAUUGUAGGCUCAUGCUUGAACACGACCAAAAGGAGGAAGAACUUCAGCUUGCAAGUUCCACCGGCAACACUUCGACAGCAUGGUUCAACUCACAAGGCAGCAGCAAGUAGAAAGAAAGAGUACUUUGUACUUGAAGAAUAAAGGCAGAUAUUUAUACUACUUUAGGAAACGUUUUAUUUUCCUCUUUAUUUUGGAUCGAGUUCUAUUUUG
rnacentral:lncRNA from 1 species